GACGUAGGGCGCGAGCGUUGUCCGGAUUUAUUGGGCGUAAAGAGCGUGUAGGCGGCCAGACAGGUCAGCUGUGAAAACUCGAGGCUCAACCUCGAGACGUCGGUUGAAACCGUCUGGCUAGAGUCCGGAAGAGGAGAGUGGAAUUCCCGGUGUAGCGGUGAAAUGCGCAGAUAUCGGGAAGAACACCCGUGGCGAAGGCGGCUCUCUGGGACGGUACUGACGCUGAGACGCGAAAGCGUGGGGAGCGAACAGG
rnacentral:rRNA from 1 species